GACGAACGCUGGCGGCGUGCUUAACACAUGCAAGUCGAACGGUGAAGCGCCUUCCUUUUUGGUGGGUGUGGAUGAGUGGCGAACGGGUGAGUAACACGUGAGUAACCUGCCCCCUUCUUCUGGAUAACCGCAUGAAAGUGUGGCUAAUACGGGAUAUUCUGGGUCUGUCGCAUGAUGGGUCUGGGAAAGAUAUUGUUUCGGUGGGGGAUGGGCUCGCGGCCUAUCAGCUUGUUGGUGGGGUGAUGGCCUACCAAGGCGGUGACGGGUAGCCGGCCUGGGAGGGUGGACGGUCACACUGGGGCUGAGACACGGCCCAGACUCCUACGGGAGGCAGCAGUGGGGAAUAUUGCACAAUGGGCGCAAGCCUGAUGCAGCGACGCCGCGUGAGGGAUGGAGGCCUUCGGGUUGUGAACCUCUUUCGCCAGUGAAGCAGGCCUGCCUCGUUUGUGGGUGGGUUGACGGUAGCUGGAUAAGAAGCGCCGGCUAACUACGUG
rnacentral:rRNA from 1 species